ACACGUAGGGGGCGAGCGUUGUCCGGAUUUAUUGGGCGUAAAGAGCUCGUAGGCGGUUUCGUAAGUCGGGUGUGAAAACUCCAGGCUCAACCUGGAGACGCCACCCGAAACUGCGAUGACUAGAGUCCGGUAGGGGAGCGUGGAAUUCCUGGUGUAGCGGUGAAAUGCGCAGAUAUCAGGAGGAACACCGACGGCGAAGGCAGCGCUCUGGGCCGGUACUGACGCUGAGGAGCGAAAGCGUGGGGAGCGAACAGGAUUAGAUACCCUGGUAGUCCACGCCGUAAACGUUGGGCACUAGGUGUGGGAUCUUUCCAACGGAUUCCGUGCCGUAGCUAACGCAUUAAGUGCCCCGCCUGGGGAGUACGGCCGCAAGGCUAAA
rnacentral:rRNA from 1 species